rnacentral:rRNA from 1 species
GACGUAGGUGGCGAACGUUAUCCGGAAUCAUUGGGCGUAAAGGGUGCGUAGAUGGCAUGAUAAGUUAUUAGUGGGAAAUCGAGGCUCAACCUCGUGGAAGCUAGUAAUACUGUUUUGCUUGAGUACAGAAGAGGUUAACGGAACUCCAUGUGGAGCGGUAAAAUGCGUAGAUAUAUGGAAGAACACCAAUAACGGCGAAGGCAGUUAACUAUUCUGUUACUGACAUUGAGGCACGAAAGCAUGGGGAGCAAACAGG